AUGAACGCUGGCGGCGUGCUUAACACCUGCAAGUCGAACGGAAAGGCUCCUGCUUGCAGGGGUACUCGAGUGGCGAACGGGUGAGUAACACGUGGGUGAUCUGCCCAGCACUUCGGGAUAAGCCUGGGAAACUGGGUCUAAUACCGGAUAGGACGAUGGUUUGGAUGCCAUUGUGGAAAGUUUUUUCGGUGUGGGAUGAGCUCGCGGCCUAUCAGCUUGUUGGUGGGGUAAUGGCCUACCAAGGCGUCGACGGGUAGCCGGCCUGAGAGGGUGUACGGCCACAUUGGGACUGAGAUACGGCCCAGACUCCUACGGGAGGCAGCAGUGGGGAAUAUUGCACAAUGGGCGCAAGCCUGAUGCAGCGACGCCGCGUGGGGGAUGACGGCCUUCGGGUUGUAAACUCCUUUCGCUAGGGACGAAGCGCAAGUGACGGUACCUGGAGAAGAAGCACCGGCUAACUACGUG
rnacentral:rRNA from 1 species